rnacentral:misc_RNA from 1 species
AGGCAAUCAUGGCUUGACCACAAAGCUCGGAGUUUCUUAUCAUACUCAUAACCUGGUCAUAUCUCUUUCUAAGCAAAGCCAGCUUGAAAAUAUAUUCAGUUGAAUCAAUAAUAAUAGGACGGUUCUUCCCAUCUCGAUCCAAGCAAAAAAUAGUGUUCCCAUAUAUCUUAGAAAUGUAGACUGGAACAUCUAAGGUUUUGAUGAUUCCACUAUCGCCAUUGGGAAGACAGUACUUGAUGUGGGUAAGUGUGGUAUAAAUGAAGACCCCGUUGUCAUCCCAGGCACCACUCUUGACACGAAUUGUCUCGUGAAGAGUACAACGGUGCACAAGCUUCUUGUCAGCUAUUACAAUGGAAUGCUUGCUAAGCAAAGCAACACUUUCCAUGUCGGACGACCAAACGACAUACCUGAUGAAAGGAGUCUGCAGCUCUCCAAGAACAAUUCUCUGCUGCAGAUCAAAGAUAACAACUCUGUCCUCUGCCCUGCACAGUAAGUUUCCUGUGCCAGCAUAGAAUAUUGCAUCAGUA